GUUGGGUCGAAGAUCAAUUCAUAUCGACAAGACUUUCCAUUCAUCUUUUUGUUGAUAUUUGGAUUCCGUUUUCAAAUAAAGUCAUCUUGUAGUUAGAAAUCACCUUUAGAAUCAUCAGCCUCUGUCCCUACACUGACUCGCUUAUCCGGGAUCGAUCCUCACUACGGUCCUUCAUUUCGAAACGAGGAUAGGUCUCUCGCGGAACGAGGUGUAGAUUGA
rnacentral:rRNA from 1 species